UACGUAGGCGGCUCGUUAAGUCAGGUGUGGAAGCCCACGGCUUACCCGUGGAAGUGCGCUUGAUACUGGCGGGCUUGAGGCGUUGAGGGGUGGGUGGAACUCUAGGUGGAGCGGUGAAAUGCGUAGAUAUCUAGAGGAACGCCGGAGGCGAAAGCGACCCACUGGUGACGUCCUGACGCUGAGGUACGAAAGCUGGGGGAGCAAACGGGAUUAGAUACCCCGGUAGUCCCAGCCCUAAACGUUGCAGACUAGGUAGGGGAGUACCAAUACUCUCUCUGCUGCAGCUAACGCACUAAGUCUGCCGCCUGGGGAGUACGGUCGCAAGAUUAAA
rnacentral:rRNA from 1 species